rnacentral:lncRNA from 1 species
CCUCAAAAUCACCAACUUCUCAUCAUUAAAACUGAGAGAGAGAGAGAGAGAGAGAGAACACCAAAGCCUCACCGUGGAAACACAUGAACACGAAUGAGCAGGCUGUAGCGGAAGCAUGCCAUCUACUGCCAUCUGCUUCUGGUGAGGCCUCAGGGAGCUGCCAAUCAUGGCGGAAGGUGAAGGGGAGCCAGUGCAUCACACGGCAAGAGCAGGAGCAAGAGAGGUGCCAGGCUCCUUCAAACAACCAGCUCUCCAGUGAACUAACAGAGCAAGAUCUCACUCAUCUCCAAGGGUAGGGCCAAGCCAUUCGUGAGGGACGCACCCCCAUGACCCAAACACUUCCCACCAGGCCCCACAGCUUCACCCUGUCGCCCAGCUGGAGUGCAAGGCACGACCUCAGCUCACUGCAACUUCCACCUCUCAAGUUCAAGCAAUUCUCCUGCCUCAGCCUCCCGAGUAGCUGGGAUUACAGACACACAUGACCACACCUGUCUAAUUUUUGUAUUUUUAGUAGAUAUGGGGUUU